rnacentral:rRNA from 1 species
AGUUCUCGUUGAUGAUCGGUGCUUGCACCGAGAUUCAACAUGGAACGAGUGGCGGACGGGUGAGUAACACGUGGGUAACCUGCCCUUAAGUGGGGGAUAACAUUUGGAAACAGAUGCUAAUACCGCAUAGAUCCAAGAACCGCAUGGUUCUUGGCUGAAAGAUGGCGUAAGCUAUCGCCUUUGGAUGGACCCGCGGCGUAUUAGCUAGUUGGUGAGGUAAUGGCUCACCAAGGCGAUGAUACGUAGCCGAACUGAGAGGUUGAUCGGCCACAUUGGGACUGAGACACGGCCCAAACUCCUACGGGAGGCAGCAGUAGGGAAUCUUCCACAAUGGACGCAAGUCUGAUGGAGCAACGCCGCGUGAGUGAAGAAGGCUUUCGGGUCGUAAAACUCUGUUGUUGGAGAAGAAUGGUCGGCAGAGUAACUGUUGUCGGCGUGACGGUAUCCAACCAGAAAGCCACGGCUAACUACGUGCCAGCAGCCGCGGUAAUACGUAGGUGGCAAGCGUUAUCCGGAUUUAUUGGGCGUAAAGCGAGCGCAGGCGGUUUUUUAAGUCUGAUGUGAAAGCCCUCGGCUUAACCGAGGAAGCGCAUCGGAAACUGGGAAACUUGAGUGCAGAAGAGGACAGUGGAACUCCAUGUGUAGCGGUGAAAUGCGUAGAUAUAUGGAAGAACACCAGUGGCGAAGGCGGCUGUCUGGUCUGUAACUGACGCUGAGGCUCGAAAGCAUGGGUAGCGAACAGGAUUAGAUACCCUGGUAGUCCAUGCCGUAAACGAUGAAUGCUAGGUGUUGGAGGGUUUC